GAGGAAAAGAAACUAACAAGGAUUCCCCUAGUAACGGCGAGUGAAGUGGGAAAAGCUCAACUUUAAAAUCUGGCAGCUUCGCUGUCCGAGUUGUAGUCUCGAGAAGUGUUUUCCGCGCUGGAUCGUGUAUGAGUCUGUUGGAAUACAGCGUCAUAGAGGGUGAGAACCCCGUUCAUGACACGACUACCAGUGCUUUGUGAUACACUUUCGAUGAGUCGAGUUGUUUGGGAAUGCAGCUCAAAAUGGGUGGUAAAUUCCAUCUAAAGCUAAAUAUUGGCGAGAGACCGAUAGCAAACAAGUACCGUGAGGGAAAGAUGAAAAGCACUUUGGAAAGAGAGUUAACAGUACGUGAAAUUGUCGAAAGGGAAACGCUUGAAGUCAGACGUGCGCGGUGCGAUUCAGCCUUGGUUCGCCAGGGUGUACUUCGUACCAUUGCAGGCCAGCAUCGGUUUUGUGAGCCGGAUAAAGGUUAGAGGAAGGUAGCGGUCCAGGCCGUGUUAUAGCCUCUAACUGAAUACGGAUUGUGAGACCGAGGGACGCAGCGCGCCGCAAGGCAAAGGGUCCGCCCUUUUCGCGCUUAGGAU
rnacentral:rRNA from 1 species